GCCUUCGUGGUGUAGUGGUCAGCACGCUCGACGCGUAACCGAGAGGUCCGGGGUUCGAUUCCCGGCGAAGGCG
rnacentral:tRNA from 1 species